UUCCGGUUGAUCCUGCCGGACCUGACUGCUAUCGGAUUGAUACUAAGCCAUGCGAGUCAUUGUAGCAAUACAAGGCAGACGGCUCAGUAACGCGUAGUCAACCUACCCUAUGGACGGGAAUAACCUCGGGAAACUGAGUAUAAUGCCCGAUAGAACACUAUACCUGGAAUGGUUUGUGUUUCAAAUGAUUUAUUGCCGUAGGAUGGGACUGCGGCCUAUCAGUUUGUUGGUGAGGUAAUGGCCCACCAAGACUAUUACAGGUACGGGCUCUGAGAGGAGUGGCCCGGAGAUGGGUACUGAGACACGGACCCAGGCCCUAUGGGGCGCAGCAGGCGAGAAAACUUUGCAAUGUGCGAAAGCACGACAAGGUUAAUCCGAGUGGUUUCUGCUAAAGGAACCUUUUGACAGUCCUAGAAACACUGUUGAAUAAGGGGUGGGCAAGUUCUGGUGUCAGCCGCCGCGGUAAAACCAGCACCUCAAGUGGUCAGGAUGAUUAUUGGGCCUAAAGCAUCCGUAGCCGGCUCAGUAAGUUUUCGGUUAAAUCUGUACGCUCAACGUACAGGCUGCCGGGAAUACUGCAGAGCUAGGGAGUGGGAGAGGUAGACGGUACUCGGGAGGAAGUGGUAAAAUGCUUUGAUCUUUCGAUGACCACCUGUGGCGAAGGCGGUCUACCAGAACACGUCCGACGGUGAGGGAUGAAAGCUGGGGGAGCAAACCGGAUUAGAUACCCGGGUAGUCCCAGCUGUAAACUAUGCAAACUCAGUGAUGCAUUGGCUGGUGGCCAAUGCAGUGUUGCAGGGAAGCCGUUAAGUUUGCCGCCUGGGAAGUACGUACGCAAGUAUGAAACUUAAAGGAAUUGGCGGGGGAGCACCACAAGGGGUGAAGCCUGCGGUUCAAUUGGAUUCAACGCCGGA
rnacentral:rRNA from 1 species